AAAAACUUAGUUAAAAAAUAACACUAGUUUGUCAAGCUAGAAUUAAUUAUAAAAUUAGUUUUUA
rnacentral:tRNA from 1 species